CAUCAGCUUCAAGAGGCAGACAAACAGUCUGUCUGUCAGAAUGCAGAGCCAUUCAUUAGUAGUGUAUUUCAUUUAAUUUAACAUGCUGCGAAGGCAUCAAUGCCACAUAUGUUUUAUUCAAGCAGUGCAGCACAGCAUAGCAUAUCUUUUUCUUCCUCCAGAGUCCAGGUACGGGAAUCAUAAGAAAGCAGAAAAUAGAUGAGGUUGCAGCAGGAGACAAGGUCACAAGUUAUUAUCCAAAUGAUGCCAUGGUCUCCCGUGAAGAAACUGCGAAGCUUGCAUUGGAAGCUGUAGGGAAACCUUAUGACUAUGAUCUUAUACGUAAUAACUGUGAGCACUUUGUUACACUUAUGGCCACUGGUAGAGGUUAUUCAAAGCAGGUGGAAGAAGUAAAAAUGAAUGCUUUUAUAGCAGCAGUCGGAGAAGAGGAUCGACUUCCACAAACUGAUGUGAAGAGACUUGUCGAUGAAAGACACACAAAAAAAUGAGAGUGACAAAGCUGCAACAUCUAACUAUGCUUAUAAUGCAUAUCUCAGUAAAUGGCUCAUAUUAUCUGAUUUCUAAUAUACGCAAAUGAGCAUUUAUUAUAAUAUAAGCUGCAUUUCUUUUAUGAUAAGGUAUGAACUAUCAGUUAAUUGGUAUUAAUAUAGCUGCAAACAUAUUAUGGAUACAGUUAUUUACCCUAACAACCACUCAGAUCUCUAACUUAGUAAAUGCAACACAUGAAGGAAAGCAUAAUUAGAAAACAAAGCUUAAAGGCUGAAACACCUAAGGGUGCAAUAAAUCCCCAAAUGCAGACAAUUUUAGAUCCAGGUUUCAGAAAUAGUAGGAGUGCAUGCUACAGUGGAUUUUUUAUGCUUUGGCAAAUGCUUUUUGAUUGGAGAGGCGUGUGUCGUGUGUUUCUAGACUGCAUUGUUAUGAUCUGCAUCUAGUUAAUAUACACAUUUCUGUUGUAUAGCAGCAUCCCAUAGUUCAAAGAGUUUCUAUUAUUUUGGUUUCUGACCCUCAGAAUAUAAGUUUAAACAUCUGAGAGCUGAAAGCAUUGACAAACUCCACCAGAUAGCCCCUUUCACAGAUGAGGUGGUUCAUUAUUAUGUUUCCAGGGAGUAAGUAGGGAUAUCAGAACAAUUGCUUUGUCCACCCAAGGAGGGAAUAUGAAUGACCACUGGACAGUUGUCCUUCUUUAAGAGAUUAGGACAAGAACUGUAGAGACAUGGAUACCUUCAGGAAGCUAGAUAUAUUUUCCUCCUUGUUUGACUCCUCAUGGCUGACCUUUGGCUGCACCCAGGGCCUGUCCUUGUCCAUCAGGUAUACCAGCCACUCCCUUCUUCUCACAGACUUACUCCAGUCUCUUUCUGGGGCCAGUGAAGAGGAUGAAACAUGUGGCAGCACCAUGCUGCUGCAAAGGAGUAUUUUAUUUCAAUAUAUCACUUCAAUUGAGUGUGCAUGUGCAUCUAGGGACAAACAUGCAAUGGGGUAUGCUGGUACAUCACCCUGCCUCUGCAGUGACUUAGCCAAUAUCCCCUCUCCCUAAGGACAGUGCUCUCUGUAUGUCCCCAUUUCCCACGAGGGAUCACCUAAAAGGAACAUCUGAAGGCACACCCACCUCCUCAAUCCAGCAUCUUAUAUGUCUGAACCACUAAUUAAAUCCUGGUUGCCUGGGCUAUAGUCAGAGCUAUAUUCUUCUACAGCAUGAUACUGGCCUGGCUAGAUGUACUUAUUGUAUGCAUACUAAGAGGGUAUGUGCAGGGGCUUGGGAAGUAAUAUGUGUGUGUGACAGUGUAUGUAUACUUCAGUGAUGUGACUACAUGAGUGAUCAGGGGAAGAGCAAUAGGAAAAGGAUGAGGUGCCAGGACAAAGAGCCAUGUCUUGAGGGAGUAACCAUUAUGAAAUGCACUACAUCCUUGAUGACAGGGGUCUGAGCACAGAUGUUACAUGUUUUGUAUAGGUUAUGGUGGAAAAAUCAAGACCCAUGAUAAUUAAGACUAGAGUAUGAAUACAAGUUUCACAGUAAUUCUAUACCUGAAUAUUUCACUGGCUGCUUGUAGAGAGGCCAGUUCAGUGUACGGCAUCUGCCAUUCUCCAGUAUGCAGCCCUGGACUGCAACCCCUCUUGCCCAUCUCUUGAGUCUAUCUUACCAUCCUACUCCACACUGUCCAUGUAGCGAUGCAAUGCUCCCCAUACCUCCCAUGCCUACAGCCAGCAUUCAAGAAUCUAAUCCAACAAACAGAGUUUCUAAAUGGGUGUUAAGUAAAGUAACAGUAAGUUUGUCUUAAUCAUAAACUUAGUGAUACAAUAGUAAUAUAUUUCUAGUAUUAUCUGAUUGACUCUGCAUCUAUCUGCUGAAUGUCGAUGACUUAAGUCCAUUCAGUAAUUUUGCUGACCACUGUUCAUCCUUGUAAAAUCAUGUGAUUUUUUUGCCUUCUGCCUAGGUAAUGAUUGGUCUGCAUGUGUAAUAAAGUAGACUACAAUGACCUUUUUUAGCAAACAGUAAAUAAACAGUUUCACAAACAGAUACAUGUGUGUGUGUAUAUAUCUAUAUCUAUCUCUCUCU